rnacentral:rRNA from 1 species
AGUGAACGCUGUCGGUAGGCCUAACACAUGCCAGUCGAACGGCAGCACAGUAAGAGCUUGCUCUUACGGGUGGCGAGUGGCGGACGGGUGAGGAAUACAUCGGAAUCUACUUUUUCGUGGGGGAUAACGUAGGGAAACUUACGCUAAUACCGCAUACGACCUACGGGUGAAAGCAGGGGAUCUUCGGACCUUGCGCGAUUGAAUGAGCCGAUGUCGGAUUAGCUAGUUGGCGGGGUAAAGGCCCACCAAGGCGACGAUCCGUAGCUGGUCUGAGAGGAUGAUCAGCCACACUGGAACUGAGACACGGUCCAGACUCCUACGGGAGGCAGCAGUGGGGAAUAUUGGACAAUGGGCGCAAGCCUGAUCCAGCCAUACCGCGUGGGUGAAGAAGGCCUUCGGGUUGUAAAGCCCUUUUGUUGGGAAAGAAAAGCAGCAGGUUAAUACCCCGCUGUUCUGACGGUACCCAAAGAAUAAGCACCGGCUAACUUCGUG